rnacentral:misc_RNA from 1 species
AGCAGCCGCGGUAAUUCCAGCUCCAAUAGCGUAUAUUAAAGUUGUUGUGGUUAAAAAGCUCGUAGUAGAACCUUGGGCCUGGCUGGCCGGUCCGCCUCACCGCGUGCACUGGUCCGGCCGGGCCUUUCCCUCUGUGGAACCGCAUGCCCUUCACUGGGUGUGCCGAGGAAACAGGACUUUUACUUUGAAAAAAUUAGAGUGCUCCAGGCAGGCCUAUGCUCGAAUACAUUAGCAUGGAAUAAUAGAAUAGGACGUGUGGUUCUAUUUUGUUGGUUUCUAGGACCGCCGUAAUGAUUAAUAGGGACAGUCGGGGGCAUCAGUAUUCAAUUGUCAGAGGUGAAAUUCUUGGAUUUAUUGAAGACUAACUACUGCGAAAGCAUUUGCCAAGGAUGUUUUCAUUUAUCAGGAACGAAAGUUAGGGGAUCGAAGACGAUCAGAUACCGUCGUAGUCUUAACCAUAAACUAUGCCGACUAGGGAUCGGACGAUGUUAUUUUUUGACUCGUUCGGCACCUUACGGG